rnacentral:rRNA from 1 species
CAUUCAGUUGCCAUCGGGUGGAAGCCGGGCACUCUGGAAGGACUGCCAUCGACAAGAUGGAGGAAGGUGGGGACGACGUCAAGUCAUCAUGGCCCUUAUGUCCAGGGCGACACACGUGCUACAAUGGCCGGCACAACGGGAAGCGAGUUCGCGAGGACGAGCGGAUCCCUUAAAGCCGGUCGCAGUUCGGAUUGAAGUCUGCAACUCGACUUCAUGAAGCUGGAAUCGCUAGUAAUCGCAGAUCAGCCAAGCUGCGGUGAAUACGUUCCCGGGCCUU